UACGUAGGGGGCAAGCGUUGUCCGGAUUUAUUGGGCGUAAAGAGCGUGUAGGCGGCCAUGUAGGUCCGUUGUGAAACUCGAGGCUCAACCUCGAGACGCCGAUGGAACCAUGUGGCUAGAGUCCGGAAGAGGAGAGUGGAAUUCCUGGUGUAGCGGUGAAAUGCGCAGAUAUCAGGAAGAACACCCGUGGCUAAGGCGGCUCUCUAGUACGGUACUGACGCUGAGACGCGAAAGCGUGGGGAGCGAACAGG
rnacentral:rRNA from 1 species